rnacentral:rRNA from 1 species
GAAGAAAGCUGGCGGCGUGCUUAACACAUGCAAGUCGAACGGAAAGGCCCUGCUUGCAGGGUACUCGAGUGGCGAACGGGUGAGUAACACGUGGGUGAUCUGCCCUGCACUUCGGGAUAAGCCUGGGAAACUGGGUCUAAUACCGGAUAGGAGCCAUUUUUAUUGUUAUGGUUGGAAAGUUUUUUCGGUGUAGGAUGAGCUCGCGGCCUAUCAGCUUGUUGGUGGGGUAAUGGCCUACCAAGGCGGCGACGGGUAGCCGGCCUGAGAGGGUGGACGGCCACAUUGGGACUGAGAUACGGCCCAGACUCCUACGGGAGGCAGCAGUGGGGAAUAUUGCACAAUGGGCGCAAGCCUGAUGCAGCGACGCCGCGUGGGGGAUGACGGCCUUCGGGUUGUAAACUCCUUUCGCUAGGGACGAAGCUUUUUGUGACGGUACCUAGAUAAGAAGCACCGGCUAACUACGUG